rnacentral:rRNA from 1 species
GGAGAGAGAGGAAUAGGGAAGUGUGCGUCGGAUGGGUAGCUUCGGUGGCGUAUGGUGCGGCGUUCGGCGGCGGCGUUCAGCGGACUUCCGGAGUACGGCGUCAGCGGCGAGCGGGGAAAGAGACAUCCAGCGGUUGCGUUGGGAGCCGGGGUCCCAGCAAGGGAGGAGGGGUGGUCCGAGCUCCUCCGGGCUCCUCCGCCGGUACUCCUCGCGCGUCGGCGGCCUCAGGACCCGUCUAGAUCGGCCCCGGCAGCCGUCGAUCGGUAGGGAAGGAGGCCCGCCGGUACUUCUUAACUUCGCCGAACUCGUCUUGAUCGCGUACCUGGUACGCGUGGAGGGCGGGAUCCUCGGUGGCCAGGAGCAGUAGACGAUAGUAGGUGCUCCUUAGGUAGGUAUAUAGGUUUUCUUCCUAUUAACUCAACGUCGACUCAAGAGGCUAACCUACUUCGUAUAUUUUGAUCUUCUAAAAUGAAUCGUUAUUGGUAUCAAAUGUAAAUAUCUAACUUUUUACAUUACGGUAAGUGUUCUGGAAAAAGAAACCAGCUUAACUACAUUUACGAUACUACAUUAUAAGAAGUAUCCGCACAAGAAUAUCAGUUUAACUAUGCUUACUAUACAACAACGUGGUUAUUGUAACCAUAAAUAAAUAACAUUACGUAUACAUAGGGCGUGAGAACAUAUAAGUAUUAUUUAUGGAAACUA